rfam:Schistosoma mansoni strain Puerto Rico chromosome 3, complete genome
AUUCAGCUGACGAGUCCCAAACAGAAUGCAAUGCGCAUUCUGGAU